rnacentral:lncRNA from 1 species
UAAAAGUUAAACCAAUCACAGCACAGGAAAAAUUCAAUUUCCCCAGAGCCAAUGCCAUCCUAGCCCACACACAGGCAUUGCUAUGGGUACGAGAUUGCAAACACCCGCGAGCGAGCGGCGGCCAUGUUCUUAGGUAGUAUAGCGUGAGAAUUUUACUAUAAGCAAUAUGGCAAAAACCGCACUGUGAUUAUUAAAACUGCUCCUUUUGGAAUAUAAGUGGACUAUUUUCGUCUGUUUUAUGAAUAUUUCGAAGAAAAGGUAAGCGACUUUCUAUUUAUCAAGUC